rnacentral:lncRNA from 1 species
AUCUGAAUGGAUCAUGACAGCAACCGGGCCGGGUGUCCCAAAAGAGCAACAAUAAAUAGCUAAACAAUAAUAAAUUAACGAGAGUAAAUGGCGGUGGCGGUGAUACGGCGGCGGCGAGGAUCUCGGCUUCAGUGGGGGUCCAGAUCUCAGUAGAAGACUGCGACGGCUGCUACGGUGGCGGCGAAGGCCCAGGCGGAGGCGGGGGCGAGUCCGGAGGCGGCGUUUGGCGGUGGAGGAGAGGUCGUCGGGGCGUCUGUCGGGGACUGAGCGAUCGAGCCUGGGGUCGGCGCCGGGGGUGACGAGAUGACGGACUCCGGGGCGGGGGCGGCGGCCUUGGGAGCCAGAGCCGGCGUGGGGGCGGAGGUCGGUGGAGCCAUCGUCGGAGGACGCGCCGGAGGGGAGACAGGUGCCGGGGCUGGAGGUGGCGGCGGCGGCGGCGUAGGCUGGGCCCUGGGGGCGGGCGUCGGGGAGGCGCCGGGGGCCUGAGCGGUGGCGGCGGCGAAGAGCACGGCUAUGGCCACGGCUACGAGGUGGAGGCGCGCCAUGGGAGGAGUAAGCGACGGCGGCGGCGAGAGCUGCUGAGUGUGGGAGGGAGCUAAGCUAGGGUUUGGGUUUUGGGGUGGUGAGUUC